rnacentral:rRNA from 1 species
CAGUAGCCGCGGUAAUACGUAGGGUGCAAGCGUUAAUCGGAAUUACUGGGCGUAAAGCGUGCGCAGGCGGUUAUAUAAGACAUAUGUGAAAUCCCCGGGCUCAACCUGGGAACUGCAUUUGUGACUGUAUAGCUAGAGUACGGCAGAGGGGGAUGGAAUUCCGCGUGUAGCAGUGAAAUGCGUAGAUAUGCGGAGGAACACCGAUGGCGAAGGCAAUCCCCUGGGCCUGUACUGACGCUCAUGCACGAAAGCGUGGGGAGCAAACAGGAUUAGAGACCCCCGUAGUCCCUGUCUCUUAUAC